UCUACCAUAGCUCAGUGGAAGAGCAUCUGCUUUGAAAGCAGAAGGUCCCAGGUUAAAUCCCUGGUAGAGCUGAGAGAA